GCGCGCUUACACACACCCCAUCACAGUGACCCAGCCCCAGGAAGCACAAAUCUGUGCAACAUUUUCCACCGAAAAGGAAAGUGGUGCCAGGAAAUAAGACAAGUUUUGCUGCUGCCGCCGCCGCCGCCGUUUAAUCUACCUGGCGACUCACAAAAGGGGGAAGAGGGAACCGGGGGUGAAAGUGCCUUUUUUCCAGCCGCCAUUUAUUCGUUUAGUUCUUCCAACUGUUAACCACGCGUGCAAGAGGGUCGGUGCAAGACGACUUCUGAGCUCCUUCGCCCAGAGGGUCAAGGCUGAAAAGCGCCCCCCCACACACACCACUCCGCCCCGCCACUACGAAUAUGUGAAAUUAAAAUAAAACAGGGCUGCUAGAUGCUUGAAAGGCGACGCCAUUUUGAUGAAUGAUAACAUUUGAGAAAUAAGGAAUGUUUGGGGAAGGAAAAGAGGGAGAGGCGAGGCGAGGAGGCAGCACACACUUACGCGCAAAAAAAAAAAAAAAAAAAAACUCGGGCUCCCGCGACUCGGGUUGUAAGAGAAGGGUGCUCGCCCUAGCUUCUCUUGCGGACACACUUUCCGAGCCCAAACACUCCAACGGGGAAGGGAGGGCAAUGAGGUAUGUAUUUAUUUAUGUAUUUAACGUGUGUGUGUGAGAGAGAGAGAGAGAGAGAGAGGGUGUGGAUGUGUUUGUGUGUGUAUACAAUAUACGUGUGCAGGCCUUCCAGAGAACAGGAGAGCUGAACCCAAUCGAGGGGAAGAACUUGAGGCUUGGGUUGGAAGGUUAAGCCAAAAAAGACAGAGGAAGGGUGCCUGAUGGGUGCAAUUGAAUCCCGCCCUUGAUUGUGCUAAGAUGGGACCAUCCAGGAAUAAAUAAAAACAGACGAUUUCCAGUUCUGGCUGCCCCACCUUAAGGAACAGAAGGCGGCAGAACUGUGUUGGGCCAAAAUAGUUGAUCGUGUACUUUCUGUGAUGGAGUAGCAUGGUAGGAAGGAGGCAUCAGAUUUUCAACGUUGUUUCAUUUCCUUCUCUCCAUAUGAAUAGGAGCUUGGCUAGAUGAGCCUUGUCCUUUCCCCAGUAUUGUGCAAAAAGCAGGAAAACAAACAGAAGAAUAGAGUUACUCUUCAAAGCUGUUUCCUCUUAUUUCCUACACACUUCCUCUGGAGCCUGACUUUCCAGCAAGCAUCUUACAAAGAGAGGUGUGUCAACAGGUAGAGAUUUCCACAUGCCCAUAUGACUGAAGACUGCUCCUCCUUUGGUAUUCCAUUCUGAGAGGAAUAAAGGGCAGUGAAUAGGAAUGGCUUCUUUUGAUCUCCCCUGCACACCAAAAUACCAGCAUUUUCAAGUGAUGAUUACAAAGAGCAAUUACUACACUUCAGAUUGUUUAUAUGCAUUUUCAGUCCGGUAUCUACUUGGUUCCUUGUUUUCUGGUUGGACAAUAUACAAUAUGAGCUGGUUAAAUCAUACUUAGAGCUACAAUAGCAUUUUACCAAAGCUUAAAAAACCAAACUACUACUAGACAGGGGGAAAAAAAAGAAAGUAAGUUGCUUCUUUGCUGUCACUGCUGCUAUCUAGUGGCUAUAUGGUUUUUUGAAGCUCAGAUAUAUUAUCACUGAUUCAUCUGCUUUGGAUGCUUAUUGAAAACCUUCCAGAUGACUGAUCAUGCUAAGAGAUACCUUAUGGAUAUCAGGUUAGAAAAAGUCAGUGUAUUACUUUUUGUUACUCUUUCCCAUGUUUCCUUGUUCAUAAUUUUUCUCUCUUUCCUCUUUCUCUAGGACUUUACAAUAAAAAAAUACACUUGCUCAGUUCAAUCCCUGCUGGCAGAAUCACACACGUGACUAGUGUGUUUUGUAUAAAUUGCUAUCCCUAACUUUCUUAUAUAUCUUUACUCAUCCUAUUACCAUUUAGAGAACUUGAUGAAGUUUGGACCAGUCCCUCUUUGCUGUUCACAGAAAGAAGAUGACAUGGCAGAAAUGAUUGCUUGUGCUCUUUGGGGGGGAAAGUUUCACAGGGCCAAAUAAAGCAAGGAUGAGAUACAAAAAGACUGUAUUGUCUUGUAUACAUGUUCUCUCUGGGCAAUUUGUUCCUAAUUCAUUUUUUUUUUUUCAUCCUAGCACCUAAAAGGUUUUCCAGGCUUUUUCUUCUUUACACUAUAUAAAAAGAAUGCAAGUAAGUUUUUUUAAAAAAUAGUUCUUUUUCUGGAUAAUUCAUCACUCCCUAUUCUUAAAAAAGUGUCUUCAAGAAUGAAAGGAUGGGUAAGCAACUGCAGGACAGACUGUUCUUUGCCAUCUCAAUUCUUGAUUUCACGAGUGACCUAUGGUGAGCUAUAGCUGCCCUGUGGUAUCAUACUGUGUGAGGAAGGGAUAAGCAUUACAGAACAUGGUUCAUAACAAGGGAACAGUUCAGGCAGCAUGGCUGUAAAUAAACAUGGAUUCUAAUAUUACAGAAAUACUAUAUCUGACAUUGGUUGUUACUACUUUUUUGUAUAUCAAUAUUGAAUUGUUAAUCCUGAAAGAGGAGUAAUUAAAAAUAAUUUAAAUAAAAAGGAAAAGUGGCUAGAAACAUUAAUCUGUAUUUUCCAGCGGUGACACUGAAAAAUAUUAAUUACAUACAAUGGUAAUAAAUGUAUCAGGUUUCCUACUUAUUUGAAGCAUUUUAUUACCCACACUUGAAAAAGUAAAUCCCAGAAUGGUACAUAAAGAUAGAUAAAGCAGAAUUUGUCUGAUGUGUAUAUCCAUCUAUAGGUCCCAGGGCAUUAAAAACAAAUUUCAGAGAGAUGUCUGCUGGAUAAAAAGUUCUGUUGGGCCCCAAGAUUAGUCUCAGUAUGCAAAGAUGUCUAUGCUAUUCCUUUUUUUUCCUCAUCCUGUUACAGUCAUGAAAUUUUCUUUGUCCAUGUCACCUUCUCAGAAUGAUAGAUUAUUCAUUAGUUAUUAGUUAUUAUUUGAAAGUAAAUUCUAAUUUACAUAUUGCCUACCAGUUAAACAAUUAAAAUCCUGUUUACUCAAAACUAUAUUUAAAGUAUAGAAUUAUAUUUUAAUGUGCCACAAUUUAGGUAAGGACAGAGACAUGUUCAUUCUACAAUGUUCUCAUAUUUUCAAAUGGUUUGCUCUAAAUCACAACAUAAGAAAAGUAAGAUUUCAUCUGUAUAGCAAGACUUGCUAGUUUUCAGUAGUGAAAACUAACAGCUCGAGAACUAAAUUCCCACUGUCAAUUGUGGUGGGGGUUUUUUUCCAUUGUUUGCAACUGAUGCUGUUGUUUUCCACACAAAUUUAGGUACUGCAAAUCCAUGUUCUAGAUUACAUGUUGUAUCCAAAACUGUCACUAAAAGUUUGCAACUUUAAACGAAGAUAAUUGGAAAGUACAAACCUCAUAAUUUUACAUAUGACAAAAAAGUGGUCAAGAGCUCAUCCUUCUCAACAGUUCUAAAAAACACUAUCAUAUCAGCUCAAAUAUUCAGAACUAAAUGCACAAUAUGUAUUAUACAUUAUGAUGGUAUAAAUGUUGUAAACUGGAAACCAAAAAUAAAGUGCAACUGACUAUUAAA